CGGCGGUACAUUUUAUCAGUCACACAGCUACGCACAUUUCAUCGUAAAAUGCACUUUCUAAGCCAAUUUUUCGAAAUUAUUAAUAUUUCUAAUCAGUUAAUCCACUAAACGGCUAAAAUGCAAGAGCUCAAGAAAUGUUUUGAGCCUCGCCAUCUAGUGGACGAGUUGAAGCAGAAACAGGUUAUAGAGGACUGCCUGCUGCAGAAGAUACUCUACUCAAAGCGCCUGCUGGUCGACCAUGUCGAGGCGCUCGAGCAAUGCAUACAGGACCGGCAGUCGUUGGCGGCCACCCGGCCCGGCCGGCAGCUGCUGAGCACGCGGAAUGCCUGCCUGCUGCUGGGUGGCACACUGCUGGAGCAUUUCGUGACACCGCGCAGGCUGCGUCUGACGAUGCUGCCCACCAUCCUGGUCACGGGCACCUUUACAGCGCUGUGUGCCGUCAAGAGCGUCUUUGUGUGCCGCAACAAGAUGGUGGAGCGCAAGCUGGAGCAGCUCGUGCGUACCAUCGAUGAGUUUGGCAAUUGCAUCCGCCGCAACAUGACGUACUUUCAGGAGAUAAUCAUCAUGAAGCAGGCCGAACUGAUAGAAUCGCGACAGAUAGAACGUGCCUGGGAUUGCAUAACGGCGGCCAAGGAGGUGACCGAAAUCCUCUACGAUGCGACGCGCAAACUGGAGACGGACUACCCGCUGCCCGCCAAAUAUGGCUCCUACUAUGCACCCAUGGAGGAGCUGCGAGAGUGCGAAUACUUCAAGAACAAUGUGACGGACUACAGUCCGAAGCACAUAAAGGAUUUCCACAACAUUUUUGCCUAUGUGCAGUCGCAAUAUCUGCUCCGCCUCGCGUUGACCAUCACGACGCGGCCCUCGAUCUCGCAGCUCAGCGAGGAGUUGGUGAAAAUCGAUUGCCUGAUGCGACAGUUGGUCCUUGAGGAGGAGCAGCACUUCGGCAACCUGGCCAUUGCCAUGCAGAACCGGAAACAACUGGAGCUGGCGGAGCUGCAUGCGGCCAAGACAGAGCAGCAGCGAAGCGGACCAAUUGCCGUGCUGCAGCACUCUUCGCUGAAGCUGAGUGCCUGCAUGGUGGCCGUGGCCGGUGAGUGCCAGGCACUGGAUAUUACGCUGCAGCAACUUACCGCCACGGAGGCGGCGCACAAGAACAACGCCAAAGCACUUGUGGCUGUGUCUAGCAGCAUGCACGGCAUUGAGAAUGCGCUGGCCGUCUGCUGUGAUGACUUCCAACGCCUGAUGCUGGUCUAUAAUAAGUUUUUGCACAGCAAACUGAAUGAGGAGUCAGAGGCGCCCAAGGCAGUCAGCGGUACGAGGCAGGACGAUGAAUUUCCCGACAGUAUUUUGCGCGUUGAAGUCUCGCAGACUGCGGGCGAGACGCAGCAGAAGGAUGACUUCUAUGCGUACAUGUAUGAUGAGAAUGAGGCACAGCAGCAGGAGGCGGAGGCCCCGCAUACGCCCGAGAAGGAGCUGCUGAACUUUGAGAAGCGCAUCACGAAGGGCAAGUUCAAGCCGGUGCUGAAGCAGCUCAAGGAUCGCAUCGAUCCCAUACGCAAAGUGAUGUUGGAGAAGGAGCGCGAGGUUCUCAACGCCAAGGGCAUCAAUGUGGACGAGCUCUUUGGCGUCAUCAUGGCAGACAAUCGACAGGCGGAAGCUGUAUCUCCCGCACAGCUCAGCAAUUGUGAUGCCUCUGGCAGCGGCUCCGAGUCGGACUCUGCCGACGAACGAGACCUCAGCAAGCAGCACAAGGAGCGUGACAACUUUGCCGAGAUGCGUCAGUUUUUGGCCGAAAAGCAGGCCAUCAAUCUGUUUGGCACCCAGCUGCCACGUCCCCCCAUCGCUGUCGAGGAGGAACUGCUGGAGAGCGAGUGCUAGAAAUGCCCCACACACUAUCUCCGACGCAUGCGGCACUAUCUGUUUAAGCUUUUAUCUUUUAUCCAAGCAACAUUGUGAGAUAAGCAGCGUGCCGCGUGAUUACACCUCCCUCCAUCCUGCCGUUUAGUUUGUUUGCUCAGUUUUUGCAUAGAAUCCAAUGCUGUAAAAAGACACGCAAAUAAUAAACUGUUCUGUUACAUCUCGCUCUCUCCGCUAGAUGGCGCUCGCGUAACGAGGAAAGAGCGUAAGAGAGAGCGCCUUGGGCAGCCGUUUUCCUUUGUUUUGUACAUAAAAAUGAUCCAAAUCGUGGCCACAAGUUUCUUCCUCCACUACAAUCUGCUUUAGUUCUAUUUUCUAUAUUGAUUUCAUUUUGAAAAUUAUUUAUUAAAUGCUAAUUUUUCGAAACUUAA